ACUUGCGCUUUGCGGACAAACU
rnacentral:miRNA from 12 species